rnacentral:lncRNA from 1 species
CCCAUCUUGGCGGGUGCUGGGGAUCAAAAAGAAUAUCAGCAAGUGAUCCAUUAACCAUAUACUCGUACACGAGAAGCUUUUUAGGUCCAUCAUGACUAUAACCAAGAAGCCUGACAAGGUUACGGUGAUGGGUUUUUCCAAUGACUUUCAUCUCAUUCUGGAACUCUUUCUCGCCUUCUGCUAAAGGUUUCUCCAAUCUUUUCACAGCUACAACUUUAUUGUUAAAUUCUAAUGUCCCUUUGUAAAUUGUUCCUGAUGCUCCUCUUCCAAUCUCUUCCUGAAAACCAUUUGUCACUUUCUCCAAUUCUGCAUAAGUAAAUGAGCGCGGAGCAAUAUCCUCCAUUGAUUGGUAAUUACUCUUUGCUGAAAUCUUUUUAUAUGCGCGCCUUUGAUGUCUGUAUGCAAGAAAUCCAAAAAUAACAAAGACCAUAAAGGCCAAGGCAACAAGUGAAACACAAAUGAGAAGAAUAACUAGGCGACGCACUUUCUUUUUCUCAGUUUUAGGAUAAGUUGGAGCUGCUGCUAUUACAGCUGUUGAGGAAGCCCACUUGAUAUAGGCAACAUUAGAAUCAGUCAAUAGCCUUCUUCCGUAUCUCAGCGGAAGCCGUUGUUUUCUGCACUUUCCAUCUUUAUAAAAUGCUGCUUCGCAGUUACAGUCCUCCAAACAAGCUGUUCUACAUUCUUCUGUAGUCAUUUUAAGAACAGAAUAAGGAUCAUCUUCCCACUGCGUAUUCUCCAAUGAUCUCAUGCUAUAAGGGAUCCUCCGGUCAUUGUUCUUGCACCUAUCGACAGUAUAAUUCCUCUUACAGCCUGCAGGCCAGUUGCCAGGACUAACAUAAUCAAAUCCGGGUACACAUUCACAUUGAGGUUCAUUAUCAUAGAGAGUACAGAAUCCGUUCAGGCCACAUACGCCUUUAGGACUACAUCUGUCUGCCGAAGAUUGCCAUACAAUUAAUGAGCCGUUUCCUUUCUUAUCCAAACUCAGGGAAUACAGGCGAAGGAUACCAUCAGGAUCAAUUUUCAGGAGGUAAACUCUCUGCUUCUCAGAAAACCCAUCAGUUAGAUUUUUUACAAUGGUGGCUGAACUAUUUAGCAAAUAAAGGUUCCCAUUAGGUUCAAGAUUCAGUGCCACAUUUACUCCAUUUACUCCGUAAGUGUUACUUGCCCAGUAAGAAAACUGGCUAGCAUCUAUAGCAUCCGCUGGGUAGAGCACAAGGUUCGAAUCAAUCUGCAUCUUGAGUCUAAAUAUUCCUGUGGCGUGAUCAGAUUCUGACCUGCUUGAAAACAAUUCCUGACCAUUUGAAAGAAUCUGACCAGGUAAGAUUGCCUCUGUCGGGUGAUCAAAACUCUGCCAUAUUAUCUUUUGAUCAGAAUUAUAGAGCACAAAGUUGCCAGUGUCUAACAUGGAAGCAUAAGAAAUAGAUUUAUCAGGUGUAACGAUAUCCGUACUUGAGUCUGGGGAUUUCUGUAGGAGGAUGAGCCUUCCAUCUGCAGUUAACCGCAGAGUUACACUGUCAGAGACAGGAGGAUCAUCUCUGCUGGCUGUCCAAACCACGGUCUUAUUCACACCAAGUCCAGCAAAGAAAAUUCCAACACCAUAGCGGUUUUGGCCUUGCGGGUAGAAACCAAAGGCAAAUAAGCCUGAAGGUGACAACCAAGACGAGUCUCCUUUUGGUGUUAGAGAGGAGCCCUGACUGAUAAUAUUGGUUACUUUUUGUCGAGCUGUUACAAAAUAUACAGCAGACAGCAGGAGAAGGAGGCUAGAAAGAGAGUUGGCCUUGUUUGAUGAAUUCGUGUUUAUGUUCAUGCUCUCUUAUUUUCUGGUUACAUCUAAUAUAAAAGAACUACUCUCUGGUCUCAGAAAGGUCUCAGAAAGACGCAAGUGUGGACCAGAGCGGGAGAAUUGAAGGUCAACUUGCAUAAGUUUAUGAUGUUGAAGUAUCAAGGAAGAUCGGCUGAUAUUAAUAGGACUAUUAACAAUAGAAUUUCGUUGCUAGAACUGUUUAUAUGCUGAAAAAGGUACCUCAAACUAACUUCUGGCUUUAAGUCAGCAUCUGGCUUAUUUCUGACUUUAAGCCAACUUUUGACUUAUUACACAAACAGACAUUUUUCAGCUUGAAGUCAGAAAUGACUUAAAGCCUGAGCUUUAGGCCCAGGCAAACAGGCUCUAAGUCGUCAAGAUCAAGUGCAAACAAGAACAGUCAUGUAUCAGUUCAGAGUAUAUCAACUCUAGAGUUUGAUUCUCACGUUCCGAAACCUCCAAGCAACCUCUAUGAAACCUCUAUGCUUACAAUUAUAUGAACUUUAAAAAGAAAAAUUCCACUUUCUACACUCUUCCUUCUGAGAAAAACAAAACUGUGACCGACUUAGGUCAAUUUAUAUUUUAGCCUUGUUCUUUUUCUUAUCAGAAAUAUUACCAAGGCAAAGCUGAUAUUGACAGGCAUGUGAAUAUAACUUCUUCACGUGUCGUUAGUUGCAGUAUCAAUUUCAGAAACCUGUCAUACUCUUUUUCUUUGUUGAAAUGGUCCAUGAAUUAUAAUGCACAAGUCCAGUUUUUUGUUUGUAUUUUCAAUUUGAUGGGAUUGCACUAGAUCCAGAUUAAAUUAUUUCAAAAUUUCAAAGUAUGUCAUUUAAAUAGAAUCCUAAUGAAUUGUUUCUAUAUAUCAUGUCAUGGAGAUAAACUGACUUCAAUUUUUCUCUGGUGAUCAUAUAUUCAUAUGUAUAUUCUUUUCUAAGAGACGCUCAACGGAUGCUUGGAAGCUAUUUACUGAGACUGUUGCAAGUAAGCUCGUCUAAUCGUUUCUUUGUAUCAGUGAUGAUUAAAAGUGUCUGAAACCUCUUUUUUUUUUUUUACUUUAAUGUCUUUAGUACUUUACCGCGCUUUCUAAGAAAAGUUCUCUAGAAAAAGUUCGAAAAAAUCGCACCUUAUUUUUCCCCUCGGUGUUAAGAAAUAAAUAAAUAUAAAUUGAACAGGAAAAUUUUGAAGACUUGCUUCUCUUGACUCCCCUUCCCUCCAAAACAGAGCCCAGAAUACAAGUCUUGUGGGCAUCUUUGAUUUGUUGUCUAAUUUGACUCCUUCAAACAUUAUCUUCCUUGUGAUUGAUCCACUACGACGUAUGCUAUGGGCAAUACCAGCACUAACCCUGCAUUCAAUCUCGUCAGUUUGAUUGAAGUAGUCUUUGAAGUUGUUAAAUUUAUUCCUCGACUCAGAUGUGCAUGUAUGAUCAUUAUUGGAUUUAUUACUCAUUUUCUGUAAAUAGGAUUGCUGGUGAUAGGAAACCAUUGUGUUCGUCUAUUAGUAUACUUAGGUGAUCAGUUUUUCAGAGUACUUCGAACAUAACACACUCUAAAAUCAGAUGACGAAUAAUCUACACAAUGUCACAUUUCUCAUCCUUUUAACAUUCAGAGAGAAAAACAAUUAAGUUCAAAUACCUGACCUUAACUCUUACAAUACUUAUUUACUCUAUGCUUAAAGCCAAAUUAUUAUCACUCAUACUAGGAAUCUAUUCUUUAGUCGACAUGAGAUAUUAAAGAUGUAGAGACAAUCGUUAAAAGCAAAAAGAAGUACAGAACACUAAAAUACUAAAUAGCUGUUAAGUAAGAGGACAGACUAGGAGGUGCUGGGAUGUCCACGGUCCCUUCCAGCAUCAGUAGAACCUUCUUCAUGGAUGGGCGAAGCGAUGGUUCAUCUAAAAUGCACCACAGGCCUACUCUCACCAUUCUUUCAAAUUUCUUCCUAUCUGUCUCCUCAUCAAUUAUUAAUUUAGCAAGAUCAUUAUCCUCAAAGCACUGAUAGACCCAUUCUUCAAGAACAGCUUCCUCCUCCGAGAGGCUUAGGUUGACACUUCUCCUGCAACAAAUGAUCUCUAAAAGCAUGAUACCGAAACUAUAGACAUCUGCCUUAACAGUAACAGCCAUAUUUCGGUGCCAUUCAGGUGCAACGUAACCCCUUGUACCUCUUAUCCCUGUAUAUGUAUUUGUUUGGUCUGCCUUCAGGAGCUUUGCCAAUCCGAAGUCUGAAAUUUUGGCAGACCUGUAUUCGUCUAUCAGUAUGUUUUGAGGCUUUAUGUCGCAAUGGAUAAUUUGGGUUUCACACUCUUCGUGCAGAUAGAGGAUUCCUCUUGCAAUAUCAAGAACAAUUCUGAUUCUUUCCUCCCAUCUUGGUGGGUUUUGGGGAUCAAAAAGAAUAUCUGCAAGCGAUCCAUUAACCAUGUAUUCAUAUACCAGAAGCUUUUUUGGUCCAUCAUGACAAUAGCCCAGAAGCCUGACAAGGUUACGAUGAUGGGUUCUUCCAAUAACUUUCAUUUCAUUCUGGAACUCUUUCUCUCCUUCUGCUAACAUAUUCUCCAAUCUUUUCACAGCUACUAAUUUGUCAUUAAAUUUCCCUUUGUAAAUU